rnacentral:rRNA from 1 species
UUGAACGCUGGCGGCCGGCCUAACACAUGCAAGUCGCGCGGAUGAAGGGAGCUUGCUCCUGGAUUCAGCGGCGGACGGGUGAGUAAUGCCUAGGAAUCUGCCUGGUAGUGGGGGAUAACGUCCGGAAACGGGCGCUAAUACCGCAUACGUCCUGAGGGAGAAAGUGGGGGAUCUUCGGACCUCACGCUAUCAGAUGAGCCUAGGUCGGAUUAGCUAGUUGGUGGGGUAAAGGCCUACCAAGGCGACGAUCCGUAACUGGUCUGAGAGGAUGAUCAGUCACACUGGAACUGAGACACGGUCCAGACUCCUACGGGAGGCAGCAGUGGGGAAUAUUGGACAAAGGGCGAAAGCCUGAUCCAGCCAUGCCGCGUGUGUGAAGAAGGUCUUCGGAUUGUAAAGCACUUUAAGUUGGGAGGAAGGGCAGUAAGUUAAUACCUUGCUGUUUUGACGUUACCAACAGAAUAAGCACCGGCUAACUUCGUG